AGUUUGAAUGAUAGAGGAAGUGUAUACGAUGAUGUCGACAUUUUGCGUAGGAGAACACUAAGAAGAUCCGACAUUGUUAGCUGGAAGGGUAGACAUUGACAGUUUUUGAACAUUUGUGGAGCAGAGGUGCACCAUGGCUUGCCACAAUGUCACAAUGGGUUCUUGGAGAGCCGCUGCUGUUGACUUGCUGCAUGUCUCCUCUCUGCGGCAAAACUCCACAAAUACUCCACUCACCAAGUUCCAGAGGGAGAGGAUCACCAGCCACCACCGGCCAUACUAAAGGAAGUGGCUCUGUGUAGGGAUGGAACAUGGCAACUACACCAGCUGGGACACACCUAGCCAACU